GUGGGGAAUAUUGGGCAAUGGGCGAAAGCCUGACCCAGCAACGCCGCGUGAAGGAAGAAGGUCUUCGGAUCGUAAACUUCUAUCCUUGGUGAAGAUAAUGACGGUAGCCGAGAAGGAAGCCCCGGCUAACUACGUGCCAGCAGCCGCGGUAAUACGUAGGGGGCAAGCGUUGUCCGGAAUGAUUGGGCGUAAAGGGCGCGUAGGCGGCCUGGUAAGUCUGGAGUGAAAGUCCUGCUUUUAAGGUGGGAAUUGCUUUGGAUACUGUCGGGCUUGAGUGCAGGAGAGGUAAGUGGAAUUCCCGGUGUAGCGGUGAAAUGCGUAGAGAUCGGGAGGAACACCAGUGGCGAAGGCGACUUACUGGACUGUAACUGACGCUGAGGCGCGAAAGUGUGGGGAGCAAACAGGAUUAGAAACCCGGGUAGUCC
rnacentral:rRNA from 1 species